GGGGCGACGCUGUGAAAGGGCUGAUCUCUUCCCCCGCUGUCGGGGCAGAUUGGCGGGGCAUGGGUUGGAGAAGCGCAUGAGGUCAGGCGGAGGCCAUGGGAGAGGGCGGAGACUGGCUCGUGUUUCGGGGUUAACUUCUGACGAGGCUGCCUGGGGAUUCUCGAGAUCCUUUCCCAGCAGAUCGGCCAUUAGUUCUCUUGACGAGCCGCCCGCUGUUACCCCUUCAGCUGAGUCUGUAUCUUUAACUCUUCUGCAGGCGAGAUACAAAUUUUCGUUGUCCUUAAAACAUGAAUCCGUCGAAUUAAACUAGAGCUCGCCGACGCCUUUAGUGACGCUACGGUUCAGCUCCGGUUAGGCUCGAUAGGGCAAAGUUUUGGGAGGGUCUUCCAGGCCAAAGCAGUCAGUUGAAGGAAGAAAAGGAUCAUGCCAUGCGGCUCUCUAGCAUUUCCUUUUUGGCCUGUAUUAUUUUCCAGUAUUUGGAUUGCUGAAGAUGUGCUGAACCAACCCUGAUCGUGUCUAAUCCAGCAGUCAUGCCCAAAGAAUGGGGAAGGUGAAAGAAGAUCCGCUACUUUUGAUAUUCACCAACAGGAAAAAAAACCUAUGAAGGAGAAGUAGCUGUAAUUUAAAGGAAUAUAAUGCUGGAAUUCUUUAUUUUAAGAAAAACAGAAGGUACAAUUAGAAUUGUGGAGUGGGGGACGACAACUUUGUCCAAAACAGAUGAAGCACAGUUUCCUGAGUAGACAAGUCCCAACCAAGAGCAUCCUCUCAUCUAUCUUUGCCUCAGAAAGAACAAAGUUAUUUCUCUGAGAAACAAAAGGAACUGAAAUGAAAAAUGAGCACUGGAACAGCAAAAAACAACAGAAUAAGGUGGCCUGCAUUGAAGUAUGCUCCAAAGAAACACCUAGCACAAGUAUUAAAAAAUGCCAAUAUUGUAAUAUUAAAUAUAAGCAGCAACUCAUUACAAAUCAGACAAAUCAACACAGCACAGCUGCAGUUGUUAUAACUGAAGAUUUUGUUAUAACUGAAGAUUUUGCAUGGAAAAUCAACAAAUGAAAAAACACUGUCCAUACACAGUAUAUAGCCAAGAUAUUGCAGUGGAAGUUGAACUGGACAAAUGUGCCAUUUUUACCAUCAACAGAAGAAAAAUAUUGAAACUGAAGGAAUCAAAAUGCCCUACAGAAAUAGCAUCAGGAAUCUGGGUGAAAAAGAUCUCAACAAAUUCCUGGGCAUCCUUCAUGUUAACAACAUCAAGUACAUCGAAGUCAAAAAGAAAGCUAGAAAUGAAUACAUCCAGAAAGUGAAGAAGAUCACAGUUAACAGCCGGACAAUUCAGUCAUUAGAUAUAUAGCUGGAAUAGUAGAAUUGAUUCAACCUGAGAUGGCAGCACGCGUAGAUGCUGCGGCUUUGAGCUUCUGGUGUUAUAGUGGAGUGAAUGGGCAAAAACUAGUCUAUACCCACGAGAAGUUACUAAAGAUCAGAUUUUCUAGUCGACUAGAUAUUACCAGCGACUUCCAGCAGUCUCAUAAUAUACCGAGUGAUAUAGUAAGACUGCCAGGGUCUCCAUAGAUUGUUGUUGGGCUUGGGAGGCGGUGUUGACAGCAAAGAGAGAGGAAGCAGAAGCGGGGAUGCAAAGCUGGUUUGCUAACUCGGUUACAGAAGCAGCCUCACAGACCAGCAUUACCAAACAUUCUUCUAGCCAACGCGAGAUCCUUUGUCAACAAAACUGAUGAACUAGAGCUAUGGAUGGCAACAAAUAAGCUCAUUCGCGACUGCUGUGUGAUGAUUAUCAUGGAGACCUGGCUUCAUCCAUUUGUACCGGAUGUGUCAAUGGAGCUAACUAACCGCACCACACACCACUUCGACAGAAAUGACAACAUAAUGAGAGUUGCUUAUACACACUGUUCUCCAUUUUAUUUACCUAGAGAGAUUUCUGUUGCAGUUACCACCGCUGUCUAUAUUCCACCUGAUGCAAAUGUUAGCACAGCGCUCUCUACAUGACACAAUCGAGAGGCAGCAGCAAACUUACCCUGAGGGUGCUUUCGCCAUGGCUGGGGAUUUUAAACAAGCCUGUCUACAGUCUGUUCUUCCUAAGUUUGUGCAGUAUGUGCAGUGUACUACCAGAGAUAAGAACACUUUAGACCAUAUGUAUUCAAACUUAAGACAGGCAUAUAGAGCAAUCCCUAUCUCCCAUCUGGGUACGCAUGACCACAUCUCUCUGCUAUUGUGCGCAAAGUAUAUCCCCCUCAAGAAAAGGAUAUGGCCAGUCAGAAAAACUGUUAAAAUCUGGCUGGAGGGACCACUCUGCCAGUUGCAGGACUGCUUUGAGACUACUGAGUGGAGUAUAUUUGAACAUUUGGAGCUGAAAGAAUUCACUGAUGCUCUUAACAUUAAAGCAUGCACAUCAGGGGUGAAAUGCUCCCGGUUCAGUCUGGAUUGCCUGAUCCAUUAGCAAUUGUGGUGGGUGGUUCAGGGAACAGGUAGCAAUUGCGGUGCAAGGCUCUGCCCACCCACUGGCUGUCGUUACUUCUUGGUUUUAACCAGGAAGUAAUGUGUUUUGUACCCUCUGCGCAUGCGCAGAAAGGCGCGUGAACUUCCGAACUGGUAAGGGAGUUAAGUAGAUUUCACCCCGAUGUACAGACAAUGUAACAGUGAAUAAGUGAAUUAGAAUUUACAGUCAUCGUAAACCCUGGAUGUCAUCAGAGGUACAAUCACUUCUAAGCCCGAAACUCCACCUUCAAGGCAGGAAAUAAAGAUGAAUAUAACAAGGCCAGGGCAAACUUGAGGAGAGGCGUUAAGGCAGCUAAACAGGAAUACAAACAAGUAGAGAAGCAUCUGGCAGAUAAUAAUCCAAGAUGGGUGUGGCAGGGGUUCAACAUCUACCCAAUUAUAAGGGAAAUACGAUGGAAACCGCCAACGCUGGUGCCCUGCUGGUGGAGGUACUGAAUAGCUUCUUCACCCGCUUGAGGUUAAAAGACCUGUCUCUGUGGCUCGAACUCGCCUCUAAUCUCCAGCCGCUCAUCUUGCAUGAACAUCAAGGGAGAGCUGUGCUAAAGGCUGUAAAUCCCAACAAAGCUGCAGGUCCAGAUGGAGUGCUGUGGAAAGUGAUAAAAACCUGAGCUGACCAAUUAACAAGGGUCCUGACAAGGAUUUUUAACAUCUCCUUGCAAUUGCUUAGAGUUCCAUCUUGCUUGAAAGCAGCCACAAUCAUUCCAGUUCCAAAGAAAGCAGCCAUAAACAGCCUGAAUGACUAUAGACCCAUUGCACUGACAUCUAUAGUGAUGAAGUGCUUUGAGACACUGGUUCUACGACACCUCAGGUCCUGUCUUCCACUAAAUUUUGAUCAACACCAGUUUGCUUAUAGAAACAACAGGUCAACGGCAUCACCACUGCUUUACAUACUGCAUUGAGACACCUCAAGAAAUCUGGGAACUGUCAGAAUGCUUUUUAUAGACUAUAGCUGGGCCUUUAAUACCAUCUUACCAGGCAUUCUCAUUGAAAAGCUGACUGACCUGAAUUUCCCUCCCCUCACUUGUGACUGGGUCAAAGACUUCCUGACGGACUGUCCACAAACAGUAAGGGUUGCGUCUCUGACAUCUUCUAUCCUGAAGCUCAGCACAGGCUCCCCUCAGGGCUGUGUGCUCAGCCCUUUCCUGUACUCACUGUAUAUAUAUGACUGCAUAUCCUCGAAUCCAUCUAACACCAUAAUAAACUUUGCAGAUGACACAAUGGCGUUGGGGCUUAUAACUGGAGGGGAUGAAUCAGCAUACGGGGAAGAAGUCCAGAAGGUAUCCAUGUGGUGUUCAAAAACAAUUUACAUCUAAAUGUAAGUUGCAAGACAAAGGAGGUGGUGCUAGAUUUCCAGAAGCACAGAGAGGAACCUGUCCCAGUGUAUAUUGAGGGGGGCUGUGUGGAGAGGGUUUCCUCUUUUAAAUUCUUGAGAGUGCUCAUUAGUCAAGCUCUUACCUGGAAAAACAGCACAUCCCUGCUGUGACCCAGUAGGAAACUCAGUCAGUGAAAAAACAAACUUUAUUCGAACAGCUGAAAAUUACUUCAUUCCCAGCAUAGUUCAACAAAAUUAAAGCAAAUUCCUCCCAACAAAAUUCCUCAGUCCUAUCGCAAACCUUGAUCCAAUUAGGCAAACUGCUAAAGGCCUUUCUUGGCAAAUGUUCAGAAGUCACAGAUACAAAAAUGAAUGCAAGAAGACAAAGCUACCAACAACCAAACGUCGUUGCUGGUUUGUUUUAAGCCUUAUGAGAGGGGCCAGUUAUCUCUUGGCCCUAUUCCCGAGUCGUCCUCUUUGCUUGAGCUGCUUUCUGGCAGCUCUUCUCAUGCGUGCAUUAGGAACAGGCUCCUCCUGUUCCUCUGCCUCACUACUAUCAGUCUCUGGAGGCUCUGGAGUCCGCAUCUCACUCCCCAAUGGCCCUGGCCCUGGCCCCACCUCAGCCUCAUCGUUGUCCAACUCGGUUGCCAGCUUUGCAGGCUGCUGGCAGACCACAACAAUCCCUGGUAGUUACUACGGCUCAACAGAGACAUCAUUUCCUUAGAGUCCUGCAGAAAAAUCAGGUGGGACAAUGGCUGAUGACUUCUUUCUAUCGAUCUAUGAUAGAAAGUGUCCUCACAUACUUUAUAACAGUAUGGUAUACUGGUCUAACAGCUGCAGACAGGAAGGCACUACAGAGAGUGAUCAAUUUGGCACAAGAAACCAUUGGUUGCCCUCUAAUACCACUAGAUGACAUCGCCAGGUCUUGUUCAGCAGAGUAAGGAAGCUAUUUAGGAAUGAUUCACACUCUGGCCAGUGUCUCUUCUCGCUUCUACCAUCAGGCUGAAGAUAUUGAAGCAUAGCCAGCUAGCCAAACAGGUUUAAAAACAGCUUCUAUCCAUGGGCUGCCAGACUCUUAAACACAAUCACAAUCACCCCCCGCACAUACGGAAACAUAUGACUAGUAUUUUUUCCCCAAUUAUUUGUCUAGGGAUUAUUCUGUAUACUAUUUAUGUUGUUUUGUAUUUUCUGUUAUGGAUUGCACUAAAGAGGCUAAACCAGUUUCGUUGAAUAUAUGAUGUACAAUGAAAAUAAA